AUUGAACGCUGGCGGCAGGCCUAACACAUGCAAGUCGAGCGGAUGAAGCGAGCUUUCUCCUGGAUUCAGCGUCGGACGGGGGAGUAAUGCCUAGGAAUCUGCCUGGUAGUGGGGGAUAACGUCCGGAAACGGGCGCUAAUACCGCAUACGUCCUGCGGGAGAAAGUUGGGGAGCUUCGGACCUCACGCUAUCAGAUGAGCCUAGGUCGGAUUAGCUAGUUGGUGGGUUAAAGGCCUACCAAGGCGACGAUCCGUAACUGGUCUGAGAGGAGGAUCAGUCACACUGGAACUGAGACAGGGUCCAGACUCCUACGGGAGGGAGCAGUGGGGAAUAUUGGACAAUGGGCGAAAGCAUGAUCCAGCCAUGCCGCGUGUGUGAAGAAGGUCUUGGGAUUGUAAAGACCUUUAAGUUGGGAGGAAGGGCAGUAAGUUAAUACCUUGCUGUUUUGACGUUACCAACAGAAUAAGCACCGGCUAACUUCGUG
rnacentral:rRNA from 1 species